UAGGGAAUCUUCCACAAUGGACGCAAGUCUGAUGGAGCAACGCCGCGUGAGUGAAGAAGGUUUUCGGAUCGUAAAGCUCUGUUGUUGGUGAAGAAGGAUAGAGGUAGUAACUGGCCUUUAUUUGACGGUAAUCAACCAGAAAGUCACGGCUAACUACGUGCCAGCAGCCGCGGUAAUACGUAGGUGGCAAGCGUUGUCCGGAUUUAUUGGGCGUAAAGCGAGCGCAGGCGGAAGAAUAAGUCUGAUGUGAAAGCCCUCGGCUUAACCGAGGAACUGCAUCGGAAACUGUUUUUCUUGAGUGCAGAAGAGGAGAGUGGAAUUCCAUGUGUAGCGGUGGAAUGCGUAGAUAUAUGGUAGAACACCAGUGGCGAAGGCGACUCUCUGGUCUGCAACUGACGCUGAGGCUCGAAAGCAUGGGUAGCGAACAGG
rnacentral:rRNA from 1 species